rnacentral:rRNA from 1 species
AGAGUUUGAUCCUGGCUCAGGACGAACGCUUGCGGCGUGCCUAAGAAAUGCAAGUCGAACGGACAUCGGAGUAAUCCGGUGUUAGUGGCGAACGGUCGCGUAACACGUAGGCAACCUGCCCUGAAGUGGGGGACAACAGCCCGAAAGGGCUGCUAAUACCGCAUGGGAACAACGAACUGCAUGGUUUGUUGUUCAAAGGCUUUCCGCAAGGGAGGUCGCUUUAGGAUGGGCUUGCGGCCUAUCAGGUAGUUGGUGGGGUAAUGGCUCACCAAGACAACGACGGGUAGCUGGUCUGAGAGGAUGGUCAGCCACAUUGGAACUGAGACACUGUCCAGACUCCUACGGGAGGCUGCAGUCGAGAAUCUUGGGCAAUGCACGAAAGUGUGACCCAGCGACGCCGCGUGGAGGAUGAAGGCGCUCUGCGUUGUAAACUCCUUUUAUGGGAGAAGAAUAGGCCUUGUGCCCUUGACGGUAUCCCAUGAAUAAGCCACGGCUAACUACGUGCCAGCAGCCGCGGUAAUACGUAGGUGGCAAGCGUUGUCCGGAUUUACUGGGCGUAAAGCGAACGCAGGCGGACGCUUAAGUAGGAAGUGAAAGGUUGGAGCUCAACUCUAACAUUGCUCCCUAUACUGGGUGUCUUGAGUAGCGGAGAGGAAGAGGGAACGACACGUGUAGCGGUGAAAUGCGUUGAGAUGUGUCGGAACACCAAUGGCGAAAGCACUCUUCUGGACGCCAACUGACGCUGAGGUUCGAAAGCCAAGGGAGCGAACAGGAUUAGAUACCCCCGUAGUCC